ACACAUAUUAUUCAAUAUCUUGGCACGUUUACCCGUUUAUUGAAUAAAGCCGAACAAGUGCGUAGUUCAACGGCUCACCUAAAAAGGCUUCCGUGUUUAGCUUAUCCACACUGUUAGUCUGUAACCCUUCUUGCAGAUUCGGCUGAGCGACGGCGGGCGGCAGCGUACACCGCCAGCUUGGAAGGUGAGGGGAGACUCGAGUCGCGCGGCCGUACCAGCGACUCACGGGACUCCGCCGCUGGCAGGGACGCCGACGUAGGCACGGAAGGCAACUUCCGGACCGUGUCAUACGAGGGCUUACGCGGAGGGCGCGGCAGGGCGGAGGGCGGUGGCGGCAGACUAGAGGAGCG